ACGAGAGGAGAAGGAAGAGGAGGGACAGUGCUGCCCAGGGAGAGCCUCAGAGCUUGGGGCUCUUGGCCUGUGCUGCAGCUACAGCCACCUCGCCCUUCUCAGACUCAGUGAAGGAGCAUUUCGACAAGACUACAGUGGAUAGGAAAAAAGGAGGAGAAGGCGGACAGAGACAGGAGUCAGGGGCAGUAGGGGGGCCCUAACCCCCCGGGCUCUGCCCCUCUGUUGCAAACGCCUCUCACUUCUUUUGCACAGACAGUGGAGGAGCACCUGGAGGAGACCUCGGUGUUCCAAGAACAGGGACUCCCUGCUGACAGUCACCAUGUCACACAGGGAGGAGGAGGCCCCCAGAGGGAGGGAGCCAGCAUGCCUGCUGUGUCAGCGAUCAGAGGCUGACCUGGACAUCUGUGGGGAAAAACUCUUCAUACAUGGGCUCUGUGCCCACGAGUUCUGCCUGUUUUUUGCCACCAACUUUCCUGACUGCCCA